ensembl:lncRNA
GUUUGAUAUGGGAUAUCUGCAGUACUUUACAAUUAGGGGAAAAAAUAAAUUUUGAAGAGGUUACAAUUGUCAUGUCAGGAAUCACUUCUGAAACUUUCUUCAAAUAGAACUAUAGUAUAUGACAGAAAAUAUAGCAAAUCUCAUAUCUUGGAGGGAAGGAAAUUAGGAAACCAUUGUUCCCUGUACUUCUCACUCCCCGUUUUCUCUUUAACUAUCAAAAGUAAGCUAUGAAACCAAGGAAGUCUGGAAAUCUAAGCUAGGGCAUACCGAAGCAAAUUGUUUCUCUUCAUGCAGAAAAGAGCUCUAACCUUUGCCCUAGAGAAAGAAAAAAGAAAACCUUUGUGUGUUAAUAAGUACAGAAAAUAACCUAUCUGGACAAAAUCUAUUUAAAAUUUACAAGUGUAUGUUUCUACUCUCUAAACUUAGCCCAAAAUCCAACAGUUGAAACGAGUCAAAUACAUUUAUUGAGCUCCUACCAUGCAUGCCGGGUGCCGCCCUGGGCCUACAAAGGUUAUUUUAGCACAGUUUACCUGACCCCUGAAAGCUCUCAGUCUCGUUGGAAGAAUAAGUUCUUAUUGUUUAGUCUCAAGUCUUCAUUGUAAUAUGUGACCUCGGGCCUUGCAGACCACAACUCAGAUUACUUUGCGCAAAGCUGAGAAAGCUGUAAAGAUGCAGCUCGUCCCCCUGAUUCUCACCCCGCCAUCUCCCUUAAAAAUAACUGCCAGUCAUGCCCGCCCCGGCAAUGGACGCCACGGAGACUUUUAAUUUGGAACGUCUGAGCGAGACUGGGAAGGUGGGGAGGCCAGCGGGUCCCUCCAGGGGGUUCUCUGGACCCGGGACGGGUCAGACCCCCGGAGCAGACAUGGCUUGUCCCGCCCGCCCCGGCGGGAGCCGUCGACCCUACACGGACUUCCCCAGGCUGUCCCCAGCUGUUGCUUUCGGAGCCCAAAAGAAACUGCCCAAGGAGUGGCAAGGCAGUUCUGGGGACGAAAAGGAACCUAAAUAGAGAUCGAGGGGGCCAUGCCACUGAAUCGGGGUCUUUUUUUAGAUUCGUUGUUGUUCCUCACUAUCUCCAAAAGAAAGAAACCCCAGAGCGAGGCUAACCACACUCAAGAUUUCGAUGAGGAUUAGAGGCUGGAGGACCGACGGAGCGACCCAGGCGGCUUUUUCCCUCUCCGGCCGUUACCCGGCAACACUGACAUCAACACUUCCUCGAGCGUACGUCACAGAGCCGCUGCUUCUGGGACUGCUGUCGAAAAGAUUAAAAGCGGAAGCAUCGCGAUAUUUCUUCGAAGCCUCACGAUUUGAGGCAAAGACACUUAAGAGCCGAGAUUACAAGAGGCUAGUGACGCUGAGGCAUCGGGAGAUAACCUCGAAACCGCAAAAUUGUGCACCUGGGUAGUUCCCGCUCCUGUGGUGCUUGAGGAGAAUGCGGGCGGCGGCCGGGUGCCUUCUCUGCUCCUUCACUCGGGUCGCUCGCUUUGUCCCGGACCCGGGCCCUCCCUGAAUGCUUUCGGUAUUACUGUCCCACCAAUCCCGCUCCCCGGCUGGCCCACGGCAGUGCCGUCUGUAAAUAAACCCUGCACUGAUCCUCUGCCCUCUUCUGCGUUUUCAAAAGUCAUGGGACUAGUUCUCGAACACUUCCUUUGUAAAUUAUGCACAUUCGCACUCACGUUGGCAUCUGAUAAUUAUUGUUUUGUCUCCUCUGUCAAAAUUGAGUACCAUUUUAAC